GUAGGCGGAGGAGCAGGGACGCACUGCACUUGCCGGGGGGCAGGGAGUGAGGGGGGCAGCUUGGCUGCUGGUGGAGUUGGCGCCUAUGGUUGGCUGCAGGAACAGCCCCUGGGCCACAUGUUUGGGACCCCUGGUUUAGACUGACCUUUAAUGUUUGUGCCUCAGUCCCAGUCUUCUGAUUGUAGCUUGUGUCCCUUUCUCCCCACCUUUGUCUGUCCUGCCUAGUUAAACUGCUAGCUGUUUGGCAGGGAUUAUUUUACUGUAUAUUUGCUGCUGUGGCAUGAGACAUUGUAUACACAACAUUUCAGUAACUGGGUGAUGUGGUUAUCUUAGGUUCCAGACUGUAGUAAUACACAGAAGAGUGCCAGCAGUAAUGAGAACCAGAACUGUUUUCUUUCCUGCUUCAGAAUGCAGAGAUUUCCAAUGAUCGAGCACCCAGUGGGCCGGCUUACUGAACGCCUUUACCCCAGACUCAGGUUGAGAAGGAGCAGUUCAUCUGGUCACUCAUUGAAAAGCUCAGGAGCUGGGGUAGUCAUCCACCCAGUGAAAACUACUUGCCACAUUCCUUUUCCACAAGAGCACCUAAAGUUAAGUGAGUGAGAGUCGUAGGCAGGUCCAGAUUCAUAAUCCCCUUAUUUUUCAGGCUUAUCUUUUUGAACUUCCACAUAAAAGAUGCAAAACCAAAAUGGUUUAUCAAAUCCCCCUGCCUAAUUUGUACCCCAAGCAAAUUAGUGUGCACUCUGGAGCAUUAUAUUGGUAACUUUUUUAUCUCCUUUUUUCUCUCUCACUGUUUACCCCCAGUAAUAUACAGAAUGUGCAGUAUAGCUUCCACUUUCUCUUUCAGCUAGAAAGAAAAUACAUUGUGUCUUCUUAAAAGUUAAGUACUCUCUCAAGUGUUUUUUUUGAACUUGGGAUGUUGUAUUAGCUUGUCUUAGUUCUUUUAAUCAGUAUUUAUCUAUUAUUUAAGGUAUGAGGCAUUGUUGCUAGGUUUCCUAUAUUGGGUCACUUGAUAUUCUUAUAAAGCAAAUGUUUUCUUAAAUCUGUGGAUAAAAACAAAUUGCAGGAUUCUGUUAACUAUGGUAGUAAUUAAAUACUGGAAACUGCUGAAAACAGUGUUCAAUUUGAGUGAUUUGUAAAGAGGGGUAUACCCCUUUUAGGGAAUCUGCAUGUAUCAUAUAUAGAGAGAAAAUUCUUAAAAACACUAGCCAUUUAGUACAUUCCAAAGAUGAAAACUUUGCUCUUCAGAACAAUCUUUGAGCCAGACAAACAGUAUAUCCAGAGGGGGGGCAUGAAUUCAACCAAAAGCAGAUUAAACCUCAAUAUAGCUCCUUUGCUUCCAACAUUCUUUGGAACUAAGAAUUUCAUCUGUUCCAAAGCAUUUUUAAAGCUGAAAAUUCAAAAUGAGUGUUCUUUUCCAAGAGGCAACCCUGGUCACAGAAACAUCUUUCAUUCUUUCCUUGCAAAUCAACAUCCUGAAGCAUGGAAGUGGUUAUGCUUUAGGGCAGAUAAAUAGGCGGCAGAAAUUACCCAGUUCCCUCAAACUAAUAAUUCUGGAAAUUCUAUCCAGUAAUCAUAAAAUUCAGUAAUGGGAAAUACCUAUUAUGUAAUCUUUUGCAUUGCCUUCCAAGAUUGUUGAAAAAAAUUAAUUUUUUUCCACUCACAUUCUAAAUGUCUCAAGCAAUGAGGUUUCCGCUAAAUUCCCUGGAGACUAUUCUUGAGUCCAGCAGAAUUCACUGUUAGGAAGCUUUAUUGAUGUUCAGACUAAAUUGUACUUUGCUAUUCUUGCAUAUAGCUGUUCUCCCCUACCACCUCCUCAAUCCAUGAUAUUAAACAGUUCUUCUCUCUACUUAGUUUUUACACCUUUAAAAAUAUUGGUACACAGUCAUCAUAUCUUUCCGUUAGUCAUUGGUGACACAGAAACUAUCUCAAAGAACAUUAAAGUUGGAAAGUUGAGCCCUCAAAAGUUAGGAGAUGCCAGAAUUAAGAUUGCCUGUGCAACCUUAAUUUGGCUGCCUUCUGUAUAUGCAUUAUGUCACAGUGUUUAAUUACAUGAUCACGUACUAUUUCUCUCACAGGAUAUGUGCCCCAUUUGGUACACAGGAUGGACUGUGUUCACUUAAUGAGCUGCUAUUUAAUAUUGUGUUUUCUCUUUAUUGUCCAAUGUUUGGCCCCAUGCUUUAUUUACUGCACACUAUACAAACCCUGCUCUAAAAGCAAUAUUAAUAAUUUCAUCAAGGCUAUUUCUAUGGUGCUCAUUACUAUACUAUCUGAGUGCUUCACAGACCUUAAUUUAUCUUCACAAUACCCUAUAAGGUGAGGGAGUGAUAUUAUAUCUAUUUUACAGAUAGGCAAAGAGACAUGAUUAAAAGUUUCCACUAAUUUUGGGCUCCCUAUGUGAGAAUUUUUGACCUGAUCUUUCAAAGUACUUAGUAUUAUCAAGUACUUCCUAUGUUUAAAGAACAUCUCCCAUUGACUUCAGUUGCAGCUGUGAGUGCUCAACACGUCUGCAAAUCAAACCUCAGGAAUCUCAGAUCAGGCACAAAGAAAUGAGGAACACACAAUAAGGGCCAUCUAUGAAAAGUUUGGCCUAAGUGACUUGUCUAGCAUCACAUAGGAACUUUGGGGCAGAGGCAGAACCCAAUUCUCCAGCUCAGCAUUCAACUGCCUUAAAACUAUCUUUUCUCUUCGACAAUUCCUUGCCUCAUUCACUAAAUAGCUUCCAGCUUCUGCAGCAAAUGAAGCAGGGGUCAUGUUUGGUGUGGGCUUUGUUUUUUUAAACAAAAAAUCCAAGUGAUGUGAUGUCCCAGUCACUGUCCUAGGAUAAACAAGAGAGUGAGCGCUUGCCUGCUUGCAAGUUUAUUAAAAGUUGUGUGUGUCUUGGAUCCAGGUGGCAUACAUAGAUUGUGCACACAUGAGAAGGGAAGCAGUGGCAGCAUCCUGAUAUAUUAGUGGGAGAUUAGGUUGCCCCUCAGGAUUCCUGCCUGUAAGAGUCCGGUUUUUUCAUUAGAUGAAUAGUUUGUUUUGGGCAGAAUACACUGGGAUUGCUUUUUUAGGAGGGGAACCAUAUAAUUAAAUUGAAAGAGGCUGGGGAUAGGUUGAUAAAAUUAAUUUGAUGGGAGUGAUCAGCUGGAAUGCUCAUGUCAAAAAGUCACCACUACUAAGGUCAGGUUUAUUAACAAAAAUGGGAUUCUAAAAUAAACAUGAAAGCCCAGCCAAAAUCUCCUCUGUUUUGGCCAUCUCCAUAGUUAUUCUAUGCCAGCGUAAGCCUUCUGCCCUCGCAAGGCUGUUCCUUGCAUUUUUUCCCUCAGGACCUGUCUGUCCCAAACUAAUAACUGUCUUUGGCUAAGGGCUGCUUCUGCUUUCCCAAUGUCUAAUCAGUGCUGCUGCUGCACUAGAGAGUCAAAAGACCCCCACUUAACAUUUUCUAAGCAGGAUCAACAUUUGCAGGGUGUUUUGGGUAGACUGUGUGAAGGAAUUGAUUUCCUGAGGAUGGGUGAUGCACAGAGGGGCAGGAAGGCGAAUGGGCAGGAAGCAGACAUUUUGUUUGCAGGCUAAUCCUUAUGCUCUCAUUCAUUGCCCAAGUAGAAUUAUUACAGGGUUCUUUAUUAUCUGCUUUUCUGGUAUCCCCUACGUGUCAUCAAGCCUUUCUCUUGGUGUGCAGCAAUGGGAGGAGUUAGUCUUACAUUGCCUAAUGAUCAGUUGAAUUGUCCCCAGUACCCUUGGCAGAAUCCUGAGUUCAGCAUUCAAGCCGGGUAAGCUAAUGAUCCAACCAGCGGACCAAAUUUGUUGAUGAAUCCUGGUCACGUGCCACCUGAGGCACAUUGCGCAUACGCUAAGAAGAAGACAACUAAGAUAAUGUGCCAGAAAGCUUAAAACAAAUACCUUUUUUCUAAAGUAGAUUUUGUACUUGAGUUUUUGGAAUAAAUACUUUGUAUAGAUUACUGGGUUUUUUGUUUUGUUUUUGGUUUGUAAUUCUUUAAAGGAGAUAGAUUAAAUCAUAGUAACGAAGGGCUAGAGUCUGUCUGGCCUUUAUGUGGGUGCAUAGAGGAAGUAGGGUGACCGGACAGCAAGUGUGAAAAAUCGGGACGGGGUGGGGGGGUAAUAGGAAUAUAAGAAAAAGACCCAAAAAUCAGGACUAUCCCUAUAAAAUUGGGACAUCUGGUCAUUCUAGGGGGAAGGCUCAGUGAGCCUUCUUCUCUCGCUCCACACUUCUACUUUGCAUGGCCUAGGAAAAAUCCCAAUUCCUGUUCUUGGGGGAAUUGCAGGAUCCUUACUCCAUAAGGGACAUGCAGCACUCCAAGGAGGCAGUGAGGAGGUUAGUCCACAACUCCACUCCGAUUUGCAUCAGGCGGUUGCAUGAGGUAUAAUAAAUUUGUCUCCGCAUAGGGGAUUAGAAGCUGAAUGUCUCCUGGUGUUCCUCUGGGGCAGCAGAGCUCCACACUUUCCCCUGUAUAAUGCCGGGCCUAGAAAACACAAAUCCUUAGUGAAGAAAUUUAAUACAUUUUUACCAAUUAUUUUGUAUAUAGCUUUAGCCAAAAAGAGACAGUUUUAACUUUAAUUUAUUUUAGCACGUCAAAUGACAUGAUGUUGAACCUGUACAUUUGGUAAUAAGUCAAGGGUUUUCAAUAAUUAAGUAAUUUAGUUUGUUUUAACACAGAUAACACCUUUUCAUACAUUUGAUACAAACUUCAAAGAACAUAUGUUUUACCUUAAUGCCAAAUAAGAAGAAAUUUGUUACAUUAAAGUGCAUGCUGUUUGCUUGUGCAUUUGGAAAUACCAGUCAUUUUAUAGCAAUUUUGAGUUAUUUUUCUGUCACUUUGUAUUCCCAUUCAAAGAGACGUACAGAAACCCUCACUCUGAGCAACUCCCUUAGGGUUUACUCAUGGAUGUAGGCAGCGGUGAGCAGGAGGCGUAGUGCACAACAAGCGUAGGUCACAAAAAUGUCAACUUUUAGUAACUUGCACGUAUUAUUGUCCUAUAUUGUGUUCCCUUGAAAUUCAGAAAGUGUCAUUUCGUUACUUUUUUUAAGGUUAGAUGGGCAAAAGAGACUGAUACUUUUUUCUUACUUGUAUUUUUUUUUAAACUGCUGGAUACAUCCCCAUCCCAUGAACCAUGGCCCGAGUUAUAGCUAAUAUUGGACAAACUGCUAUCUAGUGAGAAAGCCAUGUGUUAGCAAUAUCAAACGCUCAUAGUUAGACCAGCGUGCUGAUGUUGUUUUAGCCAGAGAAAGUGCUAAUCUAUAAGGGAACAAAUUACAGCUGGGUACCAUUUUUAUUUGUGCCAAGAUACAAAGUUUAGAGUGUUUGGAUCUGUGAUUUUGAUUUGGUUGUAUCUCUACAGGAUCACAUGCUGAGAGGUCCCCAUGCAACAGCUACCUUGUCUCACAACAGAACCUUUGAGGUUUGGGUCCUAUUUGGAACCAGCAUAGAAGGCAGAGACUAAGAGGCUCGAAAAUGGGAAACAGUUUUCAAUUCUUUUAUCUUAAAUCAUAAGUUAGGUUUUCUCCUUUUUACACUGUUUUCCUUGAGGUCAAAUAUCCUCCUUUCCCCUCUGUUAUCCACACACAAGUAUUCAUGGGUCUUUGGCCUCCUUUAAUAGGCAUGUGCUGGGAACUUAGAUUGGUAAACUCUUUGGAGCCUAAACUGUCUCUUUGUUAUGUGUUUGUACAGCACCUGGCACAGAGAACCCUCGUCUAUUGUUGUACCCCCAUGCAGUACUGCAACACAAAUAAUAAUAAUAAUAAUUAAUAAUAAUUAAUGACUACAUGCUGAUCUCAGCACCUAUCAAAUAUAGAUUGAUGAAUAAGAAGAAUUAGCUCUGUCCUUUUCUGCACUGUCUAGCUCCUUUCAACCUGAGUGACAUUCCUUUCUUUCUAUGCCUCAAUUUAAACCCUGCUCUUGACUCCAUUUCUUCUGGCCCUGCUCCUCCUUGUCCUUGUUUCUUUCCCGUCUGGCCUCAUCCUUCUCUUCUUUUCUUCCAAUACCUGCCCCUGAUUUCUUCUUUCCCUACAAACCAGCUGAAAUCCCUCUUCCCCAAGGCCAGUAAUCAGUGGGAAAGAUAUGUCUUUGUAGGAUUUCAGAUAGUCAUUUUUAAAAAAAGGUUUUAAGGUAGAUAGGUCCUUGGGGAAUCAGGGCAGUAGCACUGGGAGCCUUCAAAACAGCAGGAAGGAAGCAAAGAGAGAUGUCUUGUGUCUGCAGGUGCUGCUGCCUGACCCAUCUGAAAGCUGGCACAGAGACCUGCUUCUGUAGCCACAACUCUCAGGGUUUCCUGCAGGUUAAUGCUGGGCUGAACUAGGGCCUGAACUGGCUGACAAGCCCAACCAUAGACUGGACUGGGAGACACAAGGGAAUUUCCAGAGCCCCAUUAGCACCACCAUGACUAUCUUUUGCAGUGCUGCAAAACCUCAUGAAUGAGUGGGUGAAAGUAGACUGCAUCCCUAUGCAGGCUUGACAGUUAUAUCCUGCACCAUCCCACAGGAGAUUAGAGGCACAAGGGGGGUGAGAGCCAGUCUUAAUGGGAAAAGAAAAUCCUAAAGCCCAUCUCCUUCAGGGGACUCCCUCCCAACCAUAUGCGGGUGAGGGCAGCCCAUCUCCUCCACAGGCAGGCUUGCCAAAGGAGAUGGGGGUGACAUUGUGAAGAAGAUAUAAAUAACUGUGAUUUGAGCAAAUACAUUUUGGAAAUCUUAAACAUUAUCCAUCAUAUAUGAUCAAAUUAUUCAUUAUCUAGUUUAUUUUUUAUUCAGUAAACUCAAUCAGCAGUCUCUCCUACUCUGUAUUUCAAGUCAAUUUCACCAGUAAUGCUUACUUCUCAAUGAAUCUGCAAAACAUCCUUCUCAUUUCAGAAGGGAACAUGUGGUUGCUACCCUGACACUGUUCUCCUGACUAGACUGAGUAGUAACAGUGGAAACUCUGGAAUCUAACUGUAUGUGCAGCGCACUGUCUCAAUCCCUCCUCCCUUUUUUUAAACUAUCUACUUGUAAUCUUUCUCUUUGUAUUUAAUCUCCUCUCCAUGCUUUCUGCAGUGAAGCAUGAUUCUGACACAAUGCAUAUGCCAAUAUCUGUUUUUGGGGUGGAGGCAAGAAUUUCCCUUUUCUUUUCCUAACCCAAUAAAAAGCUUCUUUGCCAAACAACAGUUAGUAUUAAGUGAUCUUCUGCCUUGGAUUUUCUUCUUCUCUUGUAAGGUGAAAUUAGAUUCUCUUCCUAACACAGAAUAGGCCAUGGAAAUGGCUGUCCCUGUCUUUGACCCAACAUUUUAAAAAAAUUAAUUUUUAAUUGUACUAGUUAUAUAAAAUUAAUUUUACUAGUUUCGCAAUAAAAGCUCUUAGAACCUCUCUCUCCAAUGACUAAUUUCUGAAAAAUUGACACAAAGUGUGUUUAUUUAACCAGUGCAGCUUCUCUUUUAUGCAAGAAUAGAUCAGGGCUAUCUAAAUGAAUUGAUCCUUUCCUGUUCUACAACAAUGCAGUGAUGACACUGAUGCACAGUGCAGUCAAUACUUAAAGAGAAGAACAGCAGCUAUCAAGCUAGCAAGGGUAAAUACUCCCUGCUGCUCAGAAGAAGGAAAUACACUCUUUAUAGUUUUGUAAACAAUCUUUUAAGAGCUAGUUCAGUGGAGGAAAUAUGGUCAGAUUUCAUAUAUAUUUUAUAUACAGUUUGUGGUAAUCUCUUAUAACUGAAACACCCUUAGGGAAACCUAGUCUUGUAUGAGUGAGGUACUUCAGUGGUUUACAGCUCUAGUGCUCUGAACAUCACAGAAGGGUUAAUAAUAUACUGUGGUGGUUCUGUAUGCUUUUAAGAGAGUACUAAUUUUGAAUGAUCACUGCUCUUGAUAUUUAAAUAUGCUUUAGUUAUUUUCAAAUAAACGUAUGCAUUUAUGUUAAGUCAGAUAAGAGGAGGAAGUUCAGAGAUGAGUGUUGCACUGUUCUGAACUCAAUGCAUUAGGUAGUACAGGAAUCAUAUAGAGAGAGCUUGUGAAAAUCUUUCAUCUGAAAGAUUUUAGAUUAAAAUUGGCCACCUUUAUUUUGUCUAGAAAUAUUUUGUUUUGAAAUUUUCAGAUUUUUGACAAAAGAAAGAAAAGAAAACCAAACAAAUGAAUUUUUUGGUUUUUGAAAAUGAAAAUUCUUUCUUCUUACUCACCAUUUCCCCUCCCAUUUUCCCAGCCCUCUUUCUUUCUUUUCUUUUCUUUUCUUUUCUUUUCUUUUGCUAAUGAAAAAGAGACAAGUGAGAAAAUUUUCAGUUUGGGGUUUUUUAGUAAAAAAAAAAAAAAAAUCAAUUUUUUUGGAUUUCUUGCCCCAAAGUGUUUUGUGAAGCAUACUUACCAUUUUUCACAAGCUCUGCUUAUGUGCUACAAUUCUAAGGUAAAAUGGAGUCAAAGAUGGAAUAGCUGUCUUAAAUUGGAUUUGUCUUGCUUAUUGCUUCAAAGGUCAGGAGGCCUGGGGUCAGCCAGUCCUGUUCAGUUAGCCUUCCCCUGCUACACCAGUAUUGUGUGGGACUUAAGGAAGAAAAGCCAACAGUUGAGGACUGGCUGGGAAGGAGUGUCCCUGAGCCAGAGGGGAGAGGAGGUCCUUGAGCAUCCAGGUAGGAGACUCUGGGAGGUGGCUGCAGUCAGUUGCAAGUUGCAGAGAGCAGGGAUCUCCUGCAGGAAAAAGACUACAGCCAGGUAGGUUUGGUAGUGGCCUGCCAAAGCAGAAAAGGAAUUGAACUUUGAGCGUGACCCAACUAGAGGGCUGAGUCACAUGAAUCUCCAGGAGAGAUGGAAGACUUCAGUGAAGGGAAACAGAAGCAAGGCAUGAUAAAGCCAAGCCAGGGCACAAGAGGGGAAGAGGGAGGCAGCAACCUGGUAACAUUUAUAGUAAUUAAAUGACACCCGCAACAAAUAUUUGAAUGUACAGUAUUUUAAUGCAAUUUUCUUUUUUUUUUUAAACAUUUUUCCACACUUGUAUUGGUUCAUGAAUUUUCCUUGCAGCUGAUACCAUGUCAAUGAAUCUGUUAUUACCCAACCUCAAUGCAAACAGAAACAAAAUGCUUUGAAGAAAAUAAAAAUAGUUUUCAUUUUAAAUAAAUAUUGUUCUGUGA